AAAAAUAAGGCAUGUUUAUCUCUCUCAAAUAUUUUUCACAGGUGUUUUCAUUCAAGUGCAUCCAAAGAACCCAACCUGAAUUAACCAGUCUGACUAGGCAGUUUUUAGAUAAAAGCAAGGGCCAGGAGAUGUUCCUGGUUUUGCUGCUGCUCGACAGUGCCCACUGGGAGCCUCAUGCUGCUAUUCACUGAAAGUCAUAGGAAACUGUCCCAAAGAAUUAGCCCCUGCUCUAGCUGGAUCCCUCCUGCCCAUUUAUCAGAGGAUGCCUGAUGAUAUUAGCAACAUCUGAGCAGUACUGGUUCAUCUCCUAUGGUUUAUAUGCAACUACAGAAGGGGCAGUUCGUGACCAGCCACUGCUGAAAGUGAUGCCUGCUCUGUCAUGCUCAUCCUUGCCAUGCUGCCAGCACCCACCGGCAAUGUCUUCUCUUCCUUCAAUCACAGCAAAAGGCAAAUUAGUCAUCUCUUUGCCAUACCUGAGAGAGUAGAUGCCACAAAAUACCUUCAGUGCCAUCUAGCUACUAAGCUACAUGAAGAGAUGAAUUUGCAAGUAGCUCUAAUUGCCACAAGGCUCAUCAGUGGCAUGAUGUCCUGUUGCACCAGCUGAUGCUCUGUCCUCAGGGGCCUAAUCAGGAUGGUCAUGUAAGCCACAAAGAUAAUUUGCAAUCAUAAAAAAUUCUGCUUUGAAUGGAUGUUUAUCUAAAGUAUGGCAAAAUGAAUUCCUCAGAAUGAAGGCUAAAUAAAUAACUACCUUCACACACCCCAAACCCACAGGAUAUUUGUAUAGGCACUCAGUAUCGCCAGCCUCUCUGAGCAAUUUGCCAAGAACAAACAACAACAUUAUUUGGCUUUAGCUUUUGUUUCAUGAAGAUGUAUAGAAGCUAUGAAAAAUAUCACCCUUACUGUCUAUUUGUCUUGGGUUUCAUGACAUGUCUUCAGAAUUACAUGGACCCAUUUUACUAGCGAUGACUUUACUGACCAUCUAUGAUGACUCCACCCAUGAUGUAUGUCCACACCACAGCCAAACAUACGUUCUGACAGGCUGGUGGCAGGCUGGGAAGAGGGUGGAUACCAAGUGGCAUAGCAAACCCGUACCUUUCCCUGGGUAACUCACACUGAAUCAUCACUGCAUGGAACUGAAAAUUGUGGCCACCGAUCAGCCACGCGAAACAUGCAGAAAUGGAAAUAUGAACAGAGGGAGCCCAGCCAGGGCUCCAUCAGGCUCUCGACACAACAAGGAGCAGCUGCAAGUGGCAGAGGAAUGAGUUGGUGUUUUGCUUUGUCCUCCUCUGGCCCAGAUCAUGGACCAUUGCCACACAGUCUGAUGUGUCCUGGACCAUGCUAAAAGCUAAGAAAAGCAAAGCACAAUUAAUUUCAAAAGGAUGUUGUUUUUAUAACAUACUGUACUUUGGUGUGGUUAUUUCAUCUAUAGUGUAAUUUGUCCAGAUAAAACUUGUCUAGAAAUGACCUUACAGUCUGGGUAUGAUGCUGAUAGAGGAUACAUUCACACAUGCUUAUGCUCCCAGUGUCACAGCAGUGCUUGGCCAAGGAUCAGCUCCACAGAUGGAGCAGGCAAGUGCCCUUGCCCACUCUGCAGGUCUGAUCCUGCUCUGGGUGCAAGCUCAUGACAAGGUGAAAUCAGUCCCACCAACAAGAGCACAAGGAUAAUCCCUGGCUGCGAUGGCAACGCACUGCUGGCAGCAACACCAAACUUGUUAAUGGCAGUGGGACAUGUGUCAGAAGGGAUCGGUGCCUGUCAGAGCACAGAGAGGACUUUUAUCUCCUGUUUGGAUGUUCUCACUACCUUAAUGCUGAAGAAUUUAUCCAGGCAAGACCAGAUUAUCUCCAGGAGCAGUGUUGGCAAUUUCACGGAGACCAAGCCAGCUUCUACCAGUUGGCAAUCUGCCUGUAUAGACAGUCAGCGCGAAAGUUUUUAGAGCAUACAAGUAAUUGAAAUUAGUGAUGAGGAGGAUAUUUAUCUUUGUAUGGAUGGACCUUGGCAGUGUGAAGUGGGUCUUAAAAGGAGCAUCCACGUGGCACCCCCAAGAGACUUCUAGUCAAUACUUAAAGCUUUCACCGUAAAAGGUAGUUCCUAGCAUGGGAAAAGCUGGCAGUUCAAGCAGAGAAGGGCUGCAGCCCUCAGGUGUCCCUCUGAGCUGGAAUUACCAUACAGACACUUAAGUAAAAAUGAGAGUGGCGCUCAAACCUGACA